rnacentral:lncRNA from 1 species
CUGAUUUCAUCUUUAAUUUAAUUCUAAACAUCUCAUUCAUGAAGAAACUACAUGCCAAGACUUUCUAAAAUAAGAUGAGCCAAAAAUUGAAAUAAAGACUCAGAAAAUUAUUCACUAGCUUAAGAUAGAGAAAUGGUCUUUCUUCCACUGACAACAAGUGGAGAAUCAACUUCAAUUGCCCUGUCUUCCAUGCCCAUCUGGUUAUAAUCUAAAUAACACAUCAUUUCAUUUCCUUCCUCAUCUGACUAACCUGCACACUCUGCAGUGCUCUGUCAUAUGUUUCAUAUGUCCUCACUGCAGAACUUCCCUGAGAUUCUUUUAACUCCCAAAUUCCUCUUUUCCACCCUCUUGACACCUGCCAUUGCUUCUUUUAUGUUUAUAUUUUCCACUGGAGAAAAAGGGCAGUCAGUGAGCCUGUCCUUUAUGAGCUCUUGGUGCUCCUCACAAUGUUCUUUGUGCUGUGACAACUGAAUAAUUUGCUGUUGCUGUCACUGUUGAAGGUUGUGACAUCCACUGUGAAGGAGGAGAUGGAGGCAGCCCAGAAAAAAACCUUCUCUGUGUGAUGUGUUCCAGUCACCCAACCUGUGUAAACAAGUGUGACUCAUCCUUCAUGAGAUUUGCAACACGGCUGCCCUGUUCUGGCUUGAUUCUCCACUUACAUCAGCUGGGGGAUAGCAUCUUCCUUUUGCCAGCUAUCAUUGGAAUAGUCAAAAUCCCAAGCAUUUAUCUUGCUUUUUGGACAUUGAAUCACUUGGGUCGUCAAAUAAGCCAACUGUUUUUUAUGUUUGUGGUGGGAAUCUUAAUUCUGGCAUUGUUGUGCCUCAAGGUGAGGAAAGAGCACAGGGCAAAAAAAGAAAUCUCUUAUGACUGUUCCCCAGAGGAAUGA